rnacentral:piRNA from 1 species
CACAACAGUUAGGGCAGUUUCUCAAUAGA